CUGACGACAUACUUAGUACAUUGUUACCGCCAACACCAAUAAACUGAGGCCCUGGGUCAGACAGUUUGGGGUGAAAGGGCACAUUCAGGCAGCAGUCCCAUUGUGAGGCUAUGCAGAACCUUCCAGAACAGCCACACCCUCCUUGCUGCCUGUCAUGAUCUCAUUAUUCUCCAGUGACCCAUUCGCCAUCCCAGUAACGGCAGAAGCCAAAAUCGCAUGAACACCAGGCAAUUUGCAGACCACAGCUUUGCCGUCUUUAUCAUCCAUCUCUCUUGGGGCAAAGCUGAGCUGGACUCCGAGGUUGGAAGGCGCUCAGUGAGGAGGAGAGAGUGGGAAGAAGACAGGCUGGCCUCGCAGGAGGGAAGAGGAAACUGAGACACAGAGAAAUGAGGACGUGGCUCAGACCAUUGCUCUCUCAUGGGACCUGGAGUAGACUAGGAAUUGAUUGCUGACCUGCUGUGACCACCCAGCUCGAGACCACAGACCUGCUAACCGCUGUGUCCAUCAAUUUCUGUGUGAAUCGCUGUGCUGACAGGGCAACCUCAUGACUGUUGUGAAAGGGACAUUCCAAUCAUAUGUGACACAUCCUCUUUGAGGGUAUAUAACCACCCUAUACGCCCCCACCUCUGUGGAGCGCUCCGUUCCUUUGUGGAAGAAGUCUGCCAGCUGUAUGGUGCUCAGGUCUGGCUUAUAAUCCACUCCCCC
rnacentral:lncRNA from 1 species